rnacentral:rRNA from 1 species
CACAUGCAAGUCGAGCGGGAACAGAAAGUAGCUUGCUACUUUGCUGACGAGCGGCGGACGGGUGAGUAAUGCUUGGGAACAUGCCUUGAGGUGGGGGACAACAGUUGGAAACGACUGCUAAUACCGCAUAAUGUCUACGGACCAAAGGGGGCUUCGGCUCUCGCCUUUAGAUUGGCCCAAGUGGGAUUAGCUAGUUGGUGAGGUAAUGGCUCACCAAGGCGACGAUCCCUAGCUGGUUUGAGAGGAUGAUCAGCCACACUGGGACUGAGACACGGCCCAGACUCCUACGGGAGGCAGCAGUGGGGAAUAUUGCACAAUGGGCGCAAGCCUGAUGCAGCCAUGCCGCGUGUGUGAAGAAGGCCUUCGGGUUGUAAAGCACUUUCAGUCAGGAGGAAAGGUUAGUAGUUAAUACCUGCUAGCUGUGACGUUACUGACAGAAGAAGCACCGGCUAACUCCGUGCCAGCAGCCGCGGUAAUACGGAGGGUGCGAGCGUUAAUCGGAAUUACUGGGCGUAAAGCGUACGCAGGCGGUUUGUUAAGCGAGAUGUGAAAGCCCCGGGCUCAACCUGGGAACUGCAUUUCGAACUGGCAAACUAGAGUGUGAUAGAGGGUGGUAGAAUUUCAGGUGUAGCGGUGAAAUGCGUAGAGAUCUGAAGGAAUACCGAUGGCGAAGGCAGCCACCUGGGUCAACACUGACGCUCAUGUACGAAAGCGUGGGGAGCAAACAGGAUUAGAAACCCUGGU